GCCCCGUGGUGUAAUGGUAGCACACGUCGAUUAAGCGAAGCCUAAGUCUAGGUAAGGCCGGUGAGAGCCGAAAGGCAGGUCCCAGGUUCGACUCCGGGCAGUGGCA